rnacentral:rRNA from 1 species
GGGCCCGCACAAGCGGUGGAGUAUGUGGUUUAAUUCGAUGCAACGCGAAGAACCUUACCAGGGUUUGACAUCCUGCGAAUUUCUGGGAAACCGGAAAGUGCCUUCGGGAGCGCAGUGACAGGUGGUGCAUGGCUGUCGUCAGCUCGUGUCGUGAGAUGUUGGGUUAAGUCCCGCAACGAGCGCAACCCACGUCUUUAGUUGCCAGCAUUGAGUUGGGCACUCUAGAGAGACCGCCGGUGAUAAACCGGAGGAAGGUGUGGAUGACGUCAAGUCAUCAUGCCCCUUACAUCCUGGGCUACACACGUACUACAAUGCUACGGACAAAGGGCAGCAAACUCGCGAGAGCUAGCAAAUCCCAUAAACCGUGGCUCAGUUCAGAUCGUAGGCUGCAACUCGCCUACGUGAAGCUGGAAUCGCUAGUAAUCGG